GAUGAACGCUGGCGGCGUGCUUAACACAUGCAAGUCGAACGGAAAGGCCCAAGCUUGCUUGGGUACUCGAGUGGCGAACGGGUGAGUAACACGUGGGUGAUCUGCCCUGCACUUCGGGAUAAGCCUGGGAAACUGGGUCUAAUACCGGAUAGGACCACAUUUUGGAUGGUGUGGUGGAAAGUUUUUCGGUGUGGGAUGAGCUCGCGGCCUAUCAGCUUGUUGGUGGGGUAAUGGCCUACCAAGGCGUCGACGGGUAGCCGGCCUGAGAGGGUGUACGGCCACAUUGAGACUGAGAGACGGCACAGACUCCUACGGGAGGCAGCAGUGGGGAAGAUUGCACAAGGGGCGCAAGCCUGAUGCAGCGACGCCGCGUGGGGGAUGACGGCCUUCGGGUUGUAAACUCCUUUCGCUAGUGACGAAGCGUUAUGUGACGGUACCUGGAGAAGAAGCACCGGCUAACUACGUG
rnacentral:rRNA from 1 species